rnacentral:lncRNA from 1 species
GAAAAUAGUGUACUUGGAAAAAGAAGUAAAUUCUAUCAUAUGCUUCUCACGCAGGCGCACUGCGACACUCCCAGAAUUUAGACUAGUCCUAUAAAUCAAGUAUAGUAAGACUAAAUCUUUUAAUCUGGAUAUAAUAUUUUAAUUAGCAUGUGGUUAAACUCAAGAGGCUAAGAAAGUUAAACGUGUUAGGGUUAGAGUAGUUCUAGGAUAGGUGACUCUUCGAGAAACGGGGUGUCACAAUUGGAAUCUAAAUUAAUCAUCAGCCGAAAGUGUGAGAUUAGUCUCUGCGGAGUCAGAAUCAUAUAGCGGGUAGAGCAUAGCUCCCCGACUGAUGAUUGUUGUGAAUGGAGCUAGUGCAGCUCCCCACAAGGUUGGCUGAGGCUAGCGAGACGAGUCUCACAUCUCUUAGUGCUUGUGAGUGUGUAUUAGUCCGAUGAGAACGUUGGAGCUUAAAAAUAGUGAGAAUGUAAUAUUUCCAAAAUUUCAAAUAAUUCUAUAUAUGAGAUAUGAUACAACUAAGCUUUUUAAUCCGAUUAUAGUAUUUUGAGCGGUGACUAUACUUAAAAAAUUAAGAAAAUAAACGUGACAGAAUUAAAAUAAUUCUAAAAUUGAUGAACCCAUGAAAAAUGGGGCG